CCCCUGCAGAUGGGGAACAUUAUGUCUUGUUCUGCACUACAUCUCUCACCUUGCGAAGAUUUCACCACUUGCAUUUGGCCUAAAACAUAUCAAGUGAACAUGAAUUGAUGGUGGUACACCUUACAGAAUUUUAACUUCUUUGUUCCCAUGUUUUGGACACAGGGUAAGAGGUGGUAUGUUCUCAGACAACUCAUCCUCUCACUCAUUGCACGAAUAUAAUUUUGAUAGGUAUGCUUCCAACGACUGUUUCUAAUGUGCAGAAUAUAUCAAAGCAUAUGAUAUUUUGAUAUCCGUAUGAACAUCAAUCACUUUCUCUGAAAGGCUUCAAGAACAUUGAAUUGGAAAUUAAGCUGUAACAAUUCUGAUUACCCAAUUAGACAAAUUAUUGCAUACUUCAUCAAAGACCCAGUUGCAUUGUAGAUGAGGUGUGAAUCUAAUGUUCAAAUUGGGCAACUGAACACGAGGCAGAUGGCCUAAUAUGGAUUUCUUUUCACGUAGUUUAGCCUCCUUGUAUUUUCAAUUAAAAUCAUUGGACGUUGUUUAAAUAGUAUGAAGCAUCUUCUGGGAAAUGAGUUUGGUUCUGUCUCUUAGUUCGGUUCAAAGUCCUUUGAACCUUUUUUAUUUUUUGUGUAAUAAAUGGAGGUUGUUGGUUUUUGCUUCUGGACAAAAGGUUAAGGAUUAAAUCAUGGCCAUUAAGGUACUCUCUAAACUAAUUUGGAUGCCUUAAUGAUUCUAUAGUUAAACCAUUACUUAGUUGUUCCUUACAUGAAUAUGUGAUAGUAAGUGUAUAUAAGUAACUUUCAUUUUUGCUAGUUGCUUUUAUAUUGAGUUCAACUGACGUAAUCCGUAAAUUUCAUAUUACAUGCAUACCUAUAAAGCAGUGGAUUAAAUUUUUUCAAGUCUAUUGCAUAUAGUAAUUAAUAAUUCAGUAGUUAACAACGCUUUUAUCAAAUUACUCAAGCACACUGGUCAAUUAUAUGCACUCCUACAUAUGCUCAAGUUGAGAAAGGGAUAUCAUCAAUUAUUAAUGUUGGCAUCGAAAGAGACUUAUAUGUUAACUCCCGAAUCAGAAAUUUAUAUUUAAUUUUUAUCUUAACUUCUAAAUACACUAUUAGUACUUUCCUUUCCUAUUGUCUUGCAGGAGAUGGUAGGCAUGCAGAUCAUGAGGAACAUAUUGAGGGAGACGAGAAUG
rnacentral:lncRNA from 1 species